CUACAGGAAAAUCUUGAGCCGCCUCGCGCCCCCUGCCGGCAGUACCAGUGCUCUGCGUGCAUUUGCACGGACUCCCGGGUGGUGCCUUCUCCUGGAAGCUGUCAUCUCUACCUGCCCCCUCGCCGCGGGCUCCCAGGCCGUCGCUGAGCACAUCACUGUCCUCACCCCACCUGCUUUGCCCAGCCGUGGACACGGCUCCCCAGCCCCACACAGCCUGUCCUCGGGCGGUGGGGAGAGCAGGCGACGUUAUGGCAUGGAAUGAGAACUCACUGAAGAUUUGUCAGCAGACAUCACUGCUGGCAAAACUCGCCGCUGGCCCCGCCUCAGCAGAUCCCUGCUAAAUCCAUGCCACCCCAGAGAAAUACACACUGAACCAGAUAUAUGUGGCGUUAAAUUUUCCAGUUGCUACAUGAAAAAAUUUAAAGAAAAGUGAACAAACAAAAAAAAUCAAGGUCCUGGGUAUGAUCUUAACCUGGAGCUGGCCUUUGCACACGUCUGUCCGGUUCCCUGCCUGGCAGUGGAGGGUGACCCCACCGUGCCAUCCUGCUUUCACCUCUAGCGUGUCUCCUUCUUCUCCUCUGGGUGCACAUGUGGCCACUCUCCUGGGGACUCACUCUCCUUUGGUUUGAAUCCUCAGUACAUGUACUUCUUUUGGAGAAGAAGCUUAAUUUCUUUACAAUUACAAGUGAAAUACCUGCUAAAUGCAAAAACAAAUUAGAAAAUCCCUCAGUAUAAAGAAUCUUCCUAAUGAUACAUCUACAGAAUGCAGAGUCAUAAAAAUACCAUUGAAGGAUUCCUGUUUUAUCUCAGUGUGGACAAGAUUCAUGUAACACAUGAAAGUAAAGUGCUGCCCAGGGUACAGAGCACCCACUGCUUAUGUCUAGUUCCCCCAAAGGACACGCAGGCGACUGGUAAUGCUAGCAGCUCUCUGGAAGGAGAAUGAAUAGCUUGGAAGGGAUUUUUUAUUAGACAGUCUUUUAGAGCUUUUGAUUUUUAUACCAUGUGAUUUUAUUACUUUUUCCGAGAUGAAAUAAAAAAUUGAGAAAGAA